GCAUUCCGGUACCGGACGCCGAGAGCGGUUUGUCUCCGUCUCUGGAGUUGUAGGCGAGAGGUGAUCAUGUCCGGUCGCGGGAAACAGGGCGGCAAAGUGCGAGCAAAGGCCAAAUCCCGCUCCUCCCGCGCGGGCCUGCAGUUCCCGGUGGGCCGAGUGCACAGACUGCUGCGCAAAGGGAACUACGCGGAGCGAGUGGGCGCCGGGGCGCCGGUGUACCUGGCGGCGGUGUUGGAGUACCUUACGGCGGAGAUCCUGGAGCUGGCUGGCAACGCCGCGCGUGACAACAAGAAGACCAGGAUAAUUCCCCGCCACCUGCAGCUCGCCAUCCGCAACGACGAGGAGUUAAACAAGCUGCUGGGCAAAGUGACCAUCGCUCAGGGCGGCGUCCUGCCCAACAUCCAGGCCGUGCUGCUGCCCAAGAAGACGGAGAGUCAGAAGACGAAGAGCAAAUGACCCUGACGCCGCCCUCAGGGAGCUGGCUCCCCCAGCAAAGGCCCUUUUCAUGGUCGUCCCGCAAUGCUUUUGAAUGUGCUGGAUGUCAUGGAGGGCCGGUGACAUCUAGCGGGGAGAGCCUUCGCUCUCCUGCCAGUUUGUGAGCACUCAGGACCAAGUUCUGGGAAGAUACCGUCGGAUCGAGCUGAGCUCGGGGCAGGAAGUGUCUGCGGCCAUAUUUUUCAAAAAGUGGAGUAACUUUCCGUCUUGGAAGGGUGGCUCUGAUGGCACGAUGUCAACUUGAGAUUCUUCCUAGCCUAGUAGCUGCUGUGCUUUCAUGCUUUGGAUAUCAGAUAUCUUUAUAUAGCACUUUUAUGUUCAUAUUUUUUUUUUAAUGAAGGAAACGUUCAAUAAGUGAGUCAUGAGGUUGGAAAUUCGUUCCCCUGACAGUCAUAUUGCAUAACAUUGCAGCGCCUUUAGUCGUGGGUUACAUAUGCUUGAGCUUUUAAAGUGAUGUUGUCAAGUUUCUAGCUUCAUAAUGAUCCUGUCUUCAUCAUAUCAUAUUCACUUUGAGAAUCGGUUUGACUUUGCUUUCAAACAAAACAAAAACCUCUUGCUUUUAGGGGUUCUUACCCAACAAAUAACCUGUUUGAACUCUCUUAUAUUCUCCCACUAGCCUGAAGCAAUGACCUCAUUCCAGUAAUGUCUUUGGGAGUUGCAUUGCCUAAUGGCACAAUAUUGCUUUAAUAAACAUGUAAGGAAAGAUAGGACCAAAUAUGUAAGUGCAGGGGGAAACACAUUUCAGACCAGGAAUCCACAUUGAAAAGUUAACACUAGUAAUCAUCUUCUGCCCUUAAUUGACACUCCUAUUUAUUUCAUCCUCAGCAAAUUUCAUCCUGGCUCACAGACCCCACAAAAAAGAUCCCAGUACAGAUUUCACAUCUUUGGAUUCAUCUUUCCUGUGAGUCGGAAUUGAAGUCUUCCCCAAAAAUAUAUGUAUAUAUUGUAUGUCUUCAUCCUUGGUAGCGGCUGGCCCAUUUUCCCACAUGGACUUUAUUUUGUCCCCAGUAUUUAUUGAACAGCUGUCUAUGCCAGGCUCUGUACAAAGUGAUAGGAGUAGAGCUGUGAAUGAGGCCAACCAGAUUUCCACUCUCUCGGAGCUCACUUUAUUUUUAUUGGUUCCUGAAGACGGGACAAGGAACAAAUACAUACGUUAAUAUGAGAGAUCAGCUUCUGUUAGUACUUGUACCUCUCUGCUGUGUGUGGAUGAAUGAUGGAAUUACUUCUCCCAUGUUGCCAUUUUUGAGGUGUACAAAGGUCAGGCCGUACACACCUCUGUUAGGAGGCAAAUUAUUGGGCAGGUUCGAGAUGUUCUGCUAUUUACUCUGUGGUUUUGUCAUAUGUAAAAGUCAUAACACCUGUUUUAAGGAUUGAGAUUGUUCAUUUACUGUGUGCCACAUAUUAGACAAUAAAUGGAAAAAAGUACCAUGUUCAAUGGGGGUAUGGGUUUAUCCUUAUAGGUUAAAUUAUAGGUAAACAUUAAUAGGACUUUUUAAAAAAUGCCUCAUUGUUAGAACUACUACUCACAGUUACCACUUGGGGUCAGUGGAACAAAAUGCAUAUAUGGUUUUGACAUUUGAGUCUAAAUUUCUUAAAGGGAUGAGGCAUCUGAGGGAUUGUUACCAAAAUGAUGAAGAAAUAAGGACAAGGGACAUCAAGACAUUCAUAAGAAAAAGCACCUUUGCCUUCCCCUGGGAAGAUUCACAGGAAUCUGUCCAGCUCUUGUUACAUGAUGAGCAACAUAGACAAGAUACGAGGCAUUGUAACUGCCCUGUCGCCACCCGCCUCUCCCACCACUACCCAAAGGAUUCUUAGCAUCCCCUCACAUACUCUGCCUGCCUCAACGUUCAGUCAGCCCCUCACCAUUUUUGUUUUUGAGAGUUUUUUUUUUAACCCGAAUAGUUUACGGGCUGUUUAAAAUGCAUACUCCUACAAAAUCAGCUCAGCCCAUGAUCCAUGAUGAACAAACAGUAGUUCUUGCUGAUGUGUGAUUAUGAAUUUAAAAGGCCAGUAUUUCUUUAAGCAUAAGACCAUAUGGAAAAAGGCCUAAGACAAAAUCUGAUGGGAACUGAAUUCCAGUUUUUAAUAGAGUUAUAAUCCAUAGUUUUAUUUACACACAAACACACACACACACACUCUUUCCUGCAGAGAUAAGCAAGCCGUUCAGUGUGGCUGUGGCUUGGCCAGGAUUUGUUUGAUCUUUGUUUUUCCUGCAGGGCCAGUCUUGUCUUUGUGUCCCCGAGGACUGGUCUGUUUAGUUGUGCCUGCCUGGAAUCAAAAGGCUUAGUCAGGCCCCAUAAUUGGUGAUGACUGGCAUACUAUAUGCAAACUUCACAAUGCCCCUUCCAGUGGUUGAAAGGUCGCAUACCAUGCUGUGUAAGAACUUUAGCUCUCUGCAAUGAGACUUAAAUUCAGAUUCACUCUACUCCUUAUUAGUUAUCUGAUUUUUGGAAACUUAAUCUCUUUAAACCUCAGUUUCAUCUCUAAAAUGGGCAUAAUAGUUUACCUCAUAGAGUUUGGGGAGAAUUGAGUGAAUUAAUGUGUGUGAGGACACUAAGAUUCCCAUAUAGAAAUAGGCUCAAUGAAUAGUAGCUGUUUUUAUUUCUAUGUAAAGUGAGUAGCGGUAGUUGAUGGGAGCUGUUGAAACAGGUAAACAGCAUUCUAGCAAUCCUUCGACUUUUGUGAUAGCAAACCAUAAAAACAAUUUUAGUGGCUGUUUUACUAAUUAAAGGACAUCCACAAUUCAAUGUAUAACAGAAAAAGUAAUGAUUAAAGCUUGUGAAUCUGAA